rnacentral:rRNA from 1 species
AUAGCUGAUUGCACCAACAAAUAGUUGAUGCAAUAUUGACUCUGUCAAAUAAAAUUCUAGGUAGAAUUAUGAUAAUGACAUUGUCUGCCUAUAUGUCUUGACCAAAUUACGUGCCAGCAGUCGCGGUAAUACGUAGAAGACUAGUGUUAUUCAUCUUUAAUAGGUUUAAAGGGUACCUAGACGGUAAAUCAAGCCUUCACAGGGACUAAUUUACUAGAGUUACCUACGAGGGGGUAUUAAAGUACUGCAGGUGUAGAGAUGAA